UACGUAGGUGGCAAGCGUUAUACGGAUUUAUUGGGCGUAAAGGGAACGCAGGCGGUCUUUUAAGUCUGAUGUGAAAGCCUUCGGCUUAACCGGAGUAGUGCAUUGGAAACUGGGAGACUUGAGUGCAGAAGAGGAGAGUGGAACUCCAUGUGUAGCGGUGAAAUGCGUAGAUAUAUGGAAGAACACCAGUGGCGAAAGCGGCUCUCUGGUCUGUAACUGACGCUGAGGUUCGAAAGCGUGGGUAGCAAACAGG
rnacentral:rRNA from 1 species